UGCCGUGGCAGUGUGUUGGUCUUUAGGCAAAGAUUCUGCACUCAUUCUUGGGGAGACAGUUAAUACUGCUGCCUGUUAGGACAGAAUCUUGACUAUGGGCCAGUGCUCUGAGGCUGUGACAUCCUAAUGGUAUUAAAUAGCAAUCACAUACAAGGUAUGACAGGCCAGCCAUAGAAGGACAGAUACCGUGUGAGCCUACUUAUAUGAGGAACCUAAAGCAGACUCAUAGAGGCAGGCAGUGGAAAGUGGGGCCAGGAGCUCGGGCAGGGGAAUGGGAGAUUCUGGGCAGGGGGCACAGGGGCUAGUUUCACAGGACGAGCAAGAGUGGACUCUUCUGUCAACAGGGCAUCUGGGGUCAGCACUACUGCAUGCAUACAUGAGCCGUGUUGAGAAGGUGAACUUACGUUAAAUGCCAUCAGGAUGAUUAAAAACAAGGUUGAUGGGAAACUCUCCCGGGGGCAUCUUUCUGUCACAACCUGGACCUCUGGCCACCAUUAACGUCAUUAAGUAUGGAACCGUUGAGAUGUUAGUGUGUGUCACUAAUGCUGUUUUAAGGUAUCUACCUCGUUAGUCUUCACCAGGAGGUAGUCCUGUGAUAACAGGGGAGCCAGAAGCUAACUGAGUCUUUGCAGGUAACUUCUGGCUUAAGAGAAAAUACACAGGAUAAUGGAAGAAAUUGAAAGGGCACCCAAAGAAGCAGACAGACAGAUCCUAGAUACGGAGCAUCCUUCAGGACACUGGUCCAGUUCCUUCAACAACAAUAUGGCAUGAAAAAGAGGCAGGAAGAGGAAGGAUUGCUCCAAAAUAGAGAGACAUAAGAGCAACGUACAGAUCUCGACUGGAUCCCGAUUGACCCCACAUAAUUGUUAAAAGACAUUUGAGAAUACUUGGGUAAGGUUUGAUAUUUACUGGGUAGUAAAUAUCGGCGAAUUAUUAUUCUUUUAGAUGUAAAAAUGGCAGUGCAGUUAGGUGUAAAAUGCCCAUGUUUUUAAAUACUUACAAAAUACAUAGGACUCAUUUUUGCAGUUCGCUUCAAAAUACUUCAUACUUUUUAACCCCAAAAACUAGAAAGGAAAAGAAAAAAGAUACGAUACUUGGAGCAAGUAUAGCAAGUCUUGAUAAUAUUGUAUUUGGGUUGUGUAGGUGUGUAACUCCUUGUGUAAUUCUCUGUACUUUUGCAUGUAUUUGAAAAAUUUCCAAAUGCAAGGCCACACACAGGCAUCGGGAGCAAUCCUUGACGUGGAUGAGCUUGAUUUCACCUUUGCAGGUGCCCCUUCACGAUCUCCUUGCGGGCCGGGCCGGGCACUGAAGCGGGCGCUCAGCUCAGGGGAGCCUGCAUCUGUGUGCUGUUCUUCUCCGUGCCAAUGGGAAUCACCGUUCCCUGAUCUGUGGUGUUUCUGUCUGCCGUAGCGCACAGAGGUGCCUACUGUAGGGAAGAGGAGAUAAUAAUGAUCACCUUUUCAGAGAAAUCAAAAUGAAGGAAUAAACUAAAGGACACUUGCAGAUAAUUAGUUGCAUAUUUGAUCCUAGGUCCACAGAUGCUGAGAAAGACCAAGCCGUUAUUGGAAAGCAGGUUGAUCAGGAUUUGCUUCCAGAUCAAUGGGGCUGCUUCUCCCUUGGGCGGGUGACGCCGACGGUUAGAUCCGCAGUCAGGGCCGUCCAGAGAUCCGCGUGCUCUCUCUCUGCGGGAGGACCUUGUCACCUUGCCUGUCACAAAUCUUGUUGUCCGGGCUUGGUGGGGAUCCAUGAGAGAAGAAGGAGGUUGUGUGUCUGCCUCAGGUCUGAUGGGAGAGCCCAGAGCAGCGUCACCAACAUUUUCUAACAGACUCUCUGCUUCUUCCUGGACGCAGGCAGCGUUUCUGCCUCAGUGAGAUUUUAAAUAUCACUCUGUAUUAAACCUUGACUAUUUUGGUCUUCUGAGAAAAGAUUUUUUUUUUUUAAAUAAAAAUUCAGUGAUCUGAA